rnacentral:rRNA from 1 species
GCCUAAUACAUGCAAGUCGAACGGCAGCACGGACUUCGGUCUGGUGGCGAGUGGCGAACGGGUGAGUAAUGUAUCGGAACGUGCCUAGUAGCGGGGGAUAACUACGCGAAAGCGUAGCUAAUACCGCAUACGCCCUACGGGGGAAAGCAGGGGAUCGCAAGACCUUGCACUAUUAGAGCGGCCGAUAUCGGAUUAGCUAGUUGGUGGGGUAACGGCUCACCAAGCCGACGAUCAGUAACUGGCGUGAGAGCGCGACCAGUCACACGGGCACUGAGACACGGGCCCGACUCCUACGGGAGGCAGCAGUAAGGAAUAUUGGUCAAUGGACGCAAGUCUGAACCAGCCAUGCCGCGUGGAGGAUGAAGGUCCUCUGGAUUGUAAACUUCUUUUAUCUGGGAAGAAAUGCCGAUUUUCUAAUUGGUUUGACGGUACCAGAUGAAUAAGCACCGGCUAACUCCGUGCCAGCAGCCGCGGUAAUACGGAGGGUGCAAGCGUUAUCCGGAUUCACUGGGUUUAAAGGGUGCGUAGGCGGAAUUGUAAGUCCGUGGUGAAAUCUCCGAGCUUAACUCGGAAACUGCCGUGGAUACUAUAGUUCUUGAAUGUUGUGGAGGUUUGCGGAAUAUGUCAUGUAGCGGUGAAAUGCUUAGAUAUGACAUAGAACACCGAUUGCGAAGGCAGCAGGCUACACAAAUAUUGACGCUGAGGCACGAAAGCGUGGGGAUCAAACAGGAUUAGAUACCCUGGUAGUCCACGCCCUAACGAUGUCAACUAGCUGUUGGGGCUCGGGCUUGGUAGCGCAGCUAACGCGUGAAGUGACGCUGGGGAGUACGUCGCAGAUAAA